rnacentral:rRNA from 1 species
CCUGGUUGAUCCUGCCAGUAGUCAUAUGCUUGUCUCAAAGAUUAAGCCAUGCAUGUCUAAGUACAUACCUAAAUACGGUGAAACCGCAGACGGCUCAUUAAACCAGACAUAAUCCACUGGGCCUAUACCCACUCACUCUUACUUGGAUAACUGUGGCAAUUCUAGAGCUAAUACAUGCCUUUAGAGUCUCCGAUGCCCUCGCGGGUUGAGGAGCGCUUUUAUUAGUACAAAAACCCUUCAGGCUUUCGGGCCAGACAGAAGUGGUGACUCUAGAUAACAUUGCUGAGCGAAAUGCCUUGUCCCCGCAAGGGGGCAGCCACCCAGCCCUCAAAAGCUGCGGUGGUGAGCGCAGUCGCCGAAUCCAACGAGUGUCUGACUUAUCAGCUGUCGACUGUAGGUUAAACGCCUACAGUGGCUAUAACGGGUAACGGGGAAUCAGGGUUCGAUUCCGGAGAGGGAGCCUGAGAGAUGGCUACCACAUCUAAGGAAGGCAGCAGGCGCGCAACUUACCCACUCCCGGCACGGGGAGGUAGUGACGAAAAAUACCGUUGCUGGACUCUUUCGAGUCUUUGCUUCGGAAUGAGUACACUUUAAAUCCUUGCACGAGGAUCUAGUGGAGGGAAAGUCUGGUGCCAGCAGCCGCGGUAAUUCCAGCUCCACUAGCAUAUAUUAAAGUUGCUGCGGCUAAAACGCUCGUAGUUCGAUCUCUGUCCGGGACAGGCGGUUUGCUGUAGUGGCAAUCAGGUCCUGUUUCCCGGCUGCUCCUUGCCGGCCUUGUGCCGGGGCGUGCCCUUCGCCGGGUGCGUCUCCGGCGGUCGGCAGACUUGCUUUGAAAAAAUGAGAGUGCUCAGAGCAGGCCAAACCCUACGCUUGAAUUGUGAUGCACGGGACAUGUGAACAUGACCUCGGUCCAAAUUUUCUCUCGAGGGGUUUCUUUGGACUCGAGGUAAUGAUUAAUAGGGGCUGACGGGGGCAUUCGUACUGCGGGGUGAGAGGUGAAAUUCUUAGACCCUCGCAUGACGACCUACCGCGAAAGCUUCUGCCAAGGAUGCUUUCAUUAAUCAAGAACGAAAGUCAGAGGUUCGAAGGCGAUCAGAUACCGCCCUAGUUCUGACCGUAAACGAUGACGACCAGCGAUCCGCCGAUGCUAAACCCAUGGCGCGGCGGGAAGCUUUCCGGGAAACCAAAGUCUUUGGUCUCCGGGGGAAGUAUGGUUGCAAAGCUGAAACUUAAAGGAAUUGACGGAAGGGCACCACCAGGAGUGGAGCCUGCGGCUCAAUUUGAC